AUAUUAUUAAGCGGAGGAAAAGAAACUAACAAGGAUUCCCUCAGUAACGGCGAGUGAAGCGGGAACAGCUCAAAGUGAAAAUCGAAGGCCGUUAGGUUUUCGAGUUGUAAACUAAAGACGUGUGGUCUGUGUGUGACCCGAGUAUAACUCUUUUGGAACAAGGGAUCAUAGAGGGUGAGAAUCCCGUCCUUGACUCGGAGUUCGCCGCGUACGAUACACGUUCGAAGAGUCGCGUUGUUUGGGAUUGCAGCGCUAAAUGGGUGGUAAACUUCAUCUAAAGCUAAAUAUUGGCGGGAGACCGAUAGCGCACAAGUA
rnacentral:rRNA from 1 species